rnacentral:rRNA from 1 species
ACUAUAUCUAGCCCAUACUCCUCCUCAUCACUACUACUAUAAGUCAAUCAAAUAAAACAUUUACCAUACAUCUAAAGUAUAGGAGAUAGAAAUUUAAUUAUCAAUGGCGCUAUAGAGAAAGUACCGUAAGGGAAAGAUGAAAGAAUUAUUAAAAGUAGAAAAAAGCAAAGUUUACCCCUUGUACCUUUUGCAUAAUGAUUUAACUAGUAAUAAUUUAGCAAAGAGACCUUAAGUUAAAUUACCCGAAACCAGACGAGCUACUUAUGAGCAGUAACUAGAACAAACUCGUCUAUGUGGCAAAAUAGUGAGAAGACUUGUAGGUAGAGGUGAAAAGCCUAACGAGCCUGGUGAUAGCUGGUUGUCCAAGAAAGGAAUUUCAGUUCAACAUUAAACAAUACUAAAAACCAUACUAAGUUCCAACGUAUGUUUAACUGUUAGUCUAAAAAGGUACAGCUUUUUAGAAAUGGAUACAACCUUUACUAGAGAGUAACAUAAAACUUAAACCAUAGUUGGCCUAAAAGCAGCCAUCAAUUAAGAAAGCGUUCAAGCUCAACAACAAAAACAAGUUUUAAUUUCAAUAAUAAACAAAAAACUCCUAGCCUGACUAUUGGACUAAUCUAUUCAAUUAUAGAAGAAAUACUGUUAAUAUGAGUAACAAGAAAAAUUUUCUCCUUGCACA